GAUUGAUGGCGCUUUCAUGAUUCUAUGGGUGGUGGUGCAUGGCCGUUCUUAGUUGGUGGAGUGAUUUGUCUGGUUAAUUCCGAUAACGAACGAGACCUUGACCUGCUAAAUAGACGGGUUGACAUUUUGUUGGCCCCUUAUGUCUUCUUAGAGGGACAAUCGACCGUCUAGGUGAUGGAGGCAAAAGGCAAUAACAGGUUGACCUACACAGGCCUGUAAAAGCGAUGCCAAUAAAAUCGCUAGUCCAACAUCUUUAUCUCUGUAGGGAAAGCUCCCAACUGUCGGGCAGAGGAUUUUUCCAAUUGGAAAAAGUUGAUGUGGGCGACACUACCUGGUACAGGGAACGCCGGAGCAGUAACAUGCUUGGCCGAUCCUGUGGCGAGCUCGAGUAGCGUCGAGCCGUCGCAACGCGCGGAAAGGAGUGGGUCGCAGGAGGAUAAGUAUUCUUCUGCGGCUUAAGGUACGUGCUAAUCCCCAAGGUAACUUGGCUCUUGUGAUAAGGCCCGACAGGCCAAGGCACAAGAGGGUGUUCUACACGAACACUGGCAGACGGUUCCAACGACGAGGAGAAAAGCUUUUUCUUUUUUACCUUCGACUUGGGGACGACUGAAAAUGCUGUGAUGCCCUUAGAUGUUCCGGGCUGCACGCGCGCUACACUGACAGAGACAACGAGUGGGGCCCCUUGUCCGAAAUGACUGGGUAAACUUGUGAAACUUUGUCGUGCUGGGGAUGGAGCUUUGUAAUUUUUGCUCUUCAACGAGGAAUUCCUAGUAAGCGCAAGUCAUCAGCUUGCGUUGACUACGUCCCUGCCCUUUGUACACACCGCCCGUCGCUACUACCGAUUGAAUGGCUUAGUGAGGACUUGGGAGAGUACAUCGGGGAGCCAGCAAUGGCACCCUGGCGGCUCAA
rnacentral:rRNA from 1 species